UUUCCUCCUGAGUCAGGCAGAGGAGAGAAAGCAGGCAGAGAGAAAGCAGAAAAGAGAUCAUUUUGCAGAAAUGGACCUGGAUUCCUGUGAGGCAGAUGAAAGAAUGAAGCCAGCAAGAUCUCCAUAUUUAUCUUUUCAUGGGGGCAGAAGUGAAACAGCGGCUGUGGCACCAGAUCAGGGUCCAGUGUGCUUUGAAGAUGUCGCUGUUCGUUUGACGGACGAGG